rnacentral:lncRNA from 1 species
UUCAAGGUUCCAAGCUUGACUUAGGAUCAGCUAGAGUCAAGCUUGAGGGGGAGUGUUAACUUGAAGAGAAGAAGUGGAGAAGCAAAAGUGAUGAGUUGAGUUGGUGCUUGUGCAAAGACAUGGCAAGAUCUUCAGAGAUUGUAUGUUAAGGCUUGGGAGAGUCUUAAGGCUUCAGAAGUGGUCUGAUGAGUGUGCAAAGAUAGGGUUAAGUCCAGGAGGGACUUAGACACCAUUUAGAGAAGAUUUGGGUCAGACAGUAACUCCAAAGUUACCACGGUAACUUUGGAGAGUUACCACAGUAAGAUUGGAGAAGUUUGGGCAAGUUGGUGUAAAAGUGAAUAGUGAAUCACUAGUCACUAUUCAGGUUGACUAUUCACUAUUUGGGUCACUAUUCAGGAUGUGAAGAGUGUGCAUAGUAUGUGGAUAAGGCACCAAGGUUUGAAUCUAGUCAAAGGGAAUCAAGAAGAUGCUUUGUGGAGGCAAACAACCAAUGGGAGCUUCCUUGUGUGUGAUUAGGUAGUUCUGGUCUUGGACAGGCUGUCUCUUGCUGUAAAGAGAAGGGAGCCACGACCAUGAACCUGGACAGAUGCAUGGGAAGGUUAGGAGGAGCCUAAGGAGAGCCAAUCACAAGCAAGGAGCCAGCUUGCCUUGGUUUGAAUUAAAGUGAGCCAGCUUAGCUUAUCCAAUCAGCACACAUCACUCAGAUUACAACAAGACCAACUCAUCCUCACC